rnacentral:ncRNA from 2 species
GGAGCGGUAGCCGAAAAGCUAAUAGUAACGAGUAGGCA